rnacentral:tRNA from 2 species
GCGGGUGUAGCAUAGUGGUAAUGUUCCAGCUUCCCAAGCUGGCCACGAGGGUUCGAUUCCCUUCACCCGCUCCA